UACGUAGGGGGCGAGCGUUGUCCGGAAUUACUGGGCGUAAAGCGCCUGUAGGCGGGAACGUGCGUCGGACGUGAAAGGCGGGGGCUUAACCCCCGAGCGGCGUUCGAAACGGCGUUUCUUGAGGGUCGAAGAGGAGCGUGGAAUUCCCGGUGUAGCGGUGAAAUGCGUAGAGAUCGGGAGGAACACCCAUGGCGAAGGCAGCGCUCUGGUCGGCAUCUGACGCUGAGAGGCGAAAGCGUGGGGAGCGAACAGG
rnacentral:rRNA from 1 species